rnacentral:rRNA from 1 species
CCUACGGGAGGCAGCAGUGAGGAAUAUUGGUCAAUGGGCGAGAGCCUGAACCAGCCAAGCCGCGUGAAGGAUGACGGUCCAGCGGGUCGUAAACCUCUUUUGUCAGGGAACAAAUACUUGCACGCGUCCGCUUAUCGGUAGUCCUCGAAGAAAAGCCUCGGCUAACCCCGUGCCCGCAACCGCGGUAAUACGGAGGAUGCGAGCGUUAUCCGGAUUUAUUGGGUUUAAAGGGGUCGUAGGCGGAAUUUUAAGUCAGCGGUAAAAGCUCGGGGCUCAACCCCGGCGAGCCGUUGAAACUGAUGAUCUUGAGUGGGCGAGAAGUAUGCGGAAUGCGUGGUGUAGCGGUGAAAUGCAUAGAUAUCACGCAGAACUCCGAUUGCGAAGGCAGCAUACCGGCGCCCGACUGACGCUGAAGCACGAAAGCGUGGGUAUCGAACAGGAUUAGAUACCCUUGUAGUC